rnacentral:rRNA from 1 species
CCUACGGGAGGCAGCAGUGAGGAAUAUUGGUCAAUGGGCGAGAGCCUGAACCAGCCAAGUCGCGUGAGGGAGUACUGCCCUAUGGGUUGUAAACCUCUUUUGUCGGGGAGCAAAAGCCGGACGUGUCCGGCUGUGAGAGUACCCGAAGAAAAAGCAUCGGCUAACUCCGUGCCAGCAGCCGCGGUAAUACGGAGGAUGCGAGCGUUAUCCGAAUUUAUUGGGGUUAAAGGGUGCGCAGGCGGAUUUUUAAGUCAGCGGUCAAAUCGUGGGGCUCAACCCCAUCCAGCCGUUGAAACUGGGGAUCUAGAGUGUGCGAGAGGUAUGCGGAAGGCGUGGUGUAGCGGUGAAAUGCAUAGAUAUCACGCAGAACCCCGAUUGCGAAGGCAGCAUACCGGUGCACAACUGACGCUCAGGCACGAAAGCGUGGGUAUCGAACAGGAUUAGAUACCCGAGUAGUC